UAAAGACUUGUGUGAUUAACAGAA
rnacentral:siRNA from 1 species